rnacentral:lncRNA from 1 species
UACGGCGACCGUGCACGGCACUUCGGCAAUCCGGCACGGCAAAAAAAAUCGAUCACCACUAAAUCCUAUGAAACUGUUUCCACUUCAACGGUGCCGUGCCGUGUUGUACAACACGGCGUAAUUUGCCGGAUUUGCAGAUCGAUCAGCAAGCCAUUUUCAGAGCACGGCACACGGUUUUUUCACUUCUGGCCAAUCACCGUCCAGAUAAAUUACGUCAUUGCCCACAUAUUUUCUGAUCAAGCGACAAAUGGCCUGCGGUGAGAGUCAAUCGCACGUACACGUAGGUCUACGUGUAUAACCUGCUGAAGAGAGGUGAAGGAGGACUUGAUCUUGCCAUUCUUGGUCUGAUAACCGACAUGGAGGAAGCCCUUAUCCUAGUAGAAGUGUGGGAAAAUCCAAACCUGUAUGACGAGAGAUUGGAGAUGAUUAAGGACACAGAAGUAAAAAGCGAUGUAUGACAUGACAUUGGGCGUCAGCUUGUAAUCUCAGGUGACGUAGCGAGGUGAGGGACAACUACCUAAAAAAAGACAGAAAAUGGAGUGGAAGAUUGGUGACGGAGCUCUCUCAAACAAAGCACGUAAAUACAAGUACAGAGAGGCAAUGGAAUUCCUAGUUCUCUAUACAUACAUAGUCGAGAAACAAGUUCAAUCUUGGAUCCUGUGUUUGAUGUGGACACACCAGGAGAAGCCUGUACCAAGCAGGAAGAAACUGAGCAGGAGAAUGAUGACAUAUGUCCACAACGUGGGUCAGACUUCCUCGUCAUCAUCCUCAGGCACGUCCGCAACAUCAGUCCAGUCUUCGAGUCCCAACUUCACUUCAAAUCGAGGACACAAUGUUGCAGUAAUUUCAAAGCACCGAUAGUCAUGGUGACAACAUAACUGUAGAUCAAUUUUUCUCCAGUUUGUCCCCCAUUGUCCCACACUGUAAAAGUUACCUCAAUGCCAGCUCCAUUGCCAUGAUUGCUAUGAGGUUAAUUUCGGUCUUCUGAACAUUGAACAUACUACUAUAGGAAUUAAAGGUUUCGUGUCAUCUAAAUCCAAGUCGAUUCCUAUUGAUGUGAUAAACAUCUCACAAUUUAAGAAUCCAAAUAUGUUUCGUAGAUUUAAAAAAAGGUAACGGAAAAUAUUCAAACUUGCUAUGCUUCACCGCUAAAAAGAGAGCUGAUAUCUUAUUCCCUCUGACAUUACUCAAUACUCAUCCAAUUGUUAGCUAACAAAGUGACAGUGGUUUGUAGUUUGCCAGAGCUAACAACCUGUCAAUAGUCUCACAAUAAAAGAUGCAAUGUCAGACAUGCAGCAUCACCAACAAAUGAAAAGCAGUGUAUAUAUGAUUACAUCUGAAUGACUUAUGAUAAAUCCAUAUGAAAUAAAUCAUUUGCAGGAAAUCUACAACUUUAAUGACUGAUAUCGUAUUAUAAACAACUACACCAUAAAAUGUGUUAUUCUAAUUUCCACUUGAAUUUUUCACUUUAUUAUCUCCCAUUGUUGCAGUUGCAAGUCAGUCUCAAUUUGCAGAAAUUACGAUUUUGAAGGAUAAUGAUCUUUCUCUUUUGUAGAUCUGGAAAAUAUCGUCUGAGCAUGUUCACCAUUUAUUAAAAAAAUAUUUAUUUCUUAAAUUAUACUUGAAGUUAAAAUCAGGAUUUGUUCACAGAUAAGAGAAGUUGCACAUCACAGAAAUUUGGUUCAUGCAAAUAUUAACAUGAUAACUAGUAAUGUACUAUCAAAUAUCAACACAUGAAACCAGUUACUGUGAAAAUAAAAAUGAUGGGUACUGGACGGAACGUUUCUGGACUAAUGUUUUAUUUUGGAAUC